CUGGUGAUGAUGAUGAUAUGAGAUAUACAAACGGCAAGAUCGUCGUAACUACUUCACAUAAAUACAUGCACUGUGUUAGAUACGCUCGUUAUAAGAAACCACAAGCCAGCGCUAACAAGUAUCUGAAGUUACGACGCGACAGAAGUUUGCGAUCGCAAAUCUCCUGAUGCAGAAUUUGUCUACUGAAGCAGAAUAAUAAACCACAUCAAAACUUAUAAGUAGCGAGGGUACAAACGGUCGUAGUACACGAUUUGCCACAUAUGUAAUACUGCUCGCAUCUCUGGGCCGGAGCUCCUAAAUACCAGCUUCAUCCUUUUGACCGCAUGCGGCGGCGUGUCACUCGAAUCGUCAACAACC